rnacentral:rRNA from 1 species
GACGAACGCUGGCGGCGCGCUUAACACAUGCAAGUCGAACGGAAAGGCCUGCUUUCCCUUGUGGAUUGCGGGUACUCGAGUGGCGAACGGGUGAGUAACACGUGAGUGAUCUGCCCCCAACUUGGGUAUAAGCCUGGGAAACUGGGUCUAAUUCCCGAUAGGACUGCAGGGUGGUGCCUGUGGUGGAAAACGAUUUUCUAGUGGUUGGGGAUGAGCUCGCGGCCUAUCAGCUUGUUGGUGGGGGAAUGGCCUACCAAGGCGGCGACGGGUAGCCGGCCUGAGAGGGGGGACGGCCACAUUGGGACUGAGAUACGGCCCAGACUCCUACGGGAGGCAGCAGUGGGGAAUAGUGCACAAUGGGCGGAAGCCUGAUGCAGCGACGCCGCGUGGGGGAUGACGGCCUUCGGGUUGUAAACUCCUUUCGACCGCGAGGAAGCCACCUGGUUGGAAGGGUGGUGACGGUAGUGGUAGAAGAAGCACCGGCUAACUACGUG